rnacentral:tRNA from 1 species
GUGGAUGUAGCUCAGCUGGUAGAGCUCCGGAUUGUGGAUCCGGUGGUCGGGGGUUCAAAACCCCUCAUCCACCCCA